rnacentral:rRNA from 1 species
UACAGAGGGUGCGAGCGUUGUUCGGAAUUAUUGGGCGUAAAGGGCGCGUAGGCGGUGCGGUAAGUCACCUGUGAAAUCUCCUGGCUCAACUGGGAGCUUGCAGGCGAAACUGCCGUGCUGGAGUGUGGGAGAGGUGCGUGGAAUUCCCGGUGUAGUAGUGAAAUGCGUAGAUAUCAGGAGGAACACCCGUGGCGAAGGCGGCUUUCUAGGAUAUACCUGACACUGAGAAGCGACAGCUAGGGGAGCAAACAGG